rnacentral:tRNA from 1 species
CAGAUAAUAGUUUAUUAAAAAUACUGACCUUGGGUGUCAAUGAACGCUAGACGCGUUAUCUGA